CCUACGGGAGGCUGCAGUAGGGAAUAUUGGACAAUGGGGGCAACCCUGAUCCAGCCAUGCCGCGUGUGUGAAGAAGGCCCUCGGGUUGUAAAGCACUUUCAGUGAGGAAGAACGCCUGGUGGUUAAUACCCAUCAGGAAAGACAUCACUCACAGAAGAAGCACCGGCUAACUCCGUGCCAGCAGCCGCGGUAAUACGGAGGGUGCGAGCGUUAAUCGGAAUUACUGGGCGUAAAGCGCGCGUAGGUGGCUUGAUAAGCCGGUUGUGAAAGCCCCGGGCUCAACCUGGGAACGGCAUCCGGAACUGUCAAGCUAGAGUGCAGGAGAGGAAGGUAGAAUUCCCGGUGUAGCGGUGAAAUGCGUAGAGAUCGGGAGGAAUACCAGUGGCGAAGGCGGCCUUCUGGACUGACACUGACACUGAGGUGCGAAAGCGUGGGUAGCAAACAGGAUUAGAUACCCUGGUAGUC
rnacentral:rRNA from 1 species